rnacentral:rRNA from 1 species
UGGGGAAUAUUGCACAAUGGGCGCAAGCCUGAUGCAGCCAUGCCGCGUGUAUGAAGAAGGCCUUCGGGUUGUAAAGUACUUUCAGCGGGGAGGAAGGGAGUAAAGUUAAUACCUUUGCUCAUUGACGUUACCCGCAGAAGAAGCACCGGCUAACUCCGUGCCAGCAGCCGCGGUAAUACGGAGGGUGCAAGCGUUAAUCGGAAUUACUGGGCGUAAAGCGCACGCAGGCGGUUUGUUAAGUCAGAUGUGAAAUCCCCGGGCUUAACCUGGGAACUGCAUUCGAAACUGGCAGGCUAGAGUCUUGUAGAGGGGGGUAGGAUUCCAGGUGUAGCGGUGAAAUGCGUAGAGAUCUGGAGGAAUACCGGUGGCGAAGGCGGCCCCCUGGACAAAGACUGACGCUCAGGUGCGAAAGCGUGGGGAGCAAACAGG